GAUCUUUGCGCAGCUCAGACACCUCUCACGGCUCUCAGCUUCCGGUUGUUGUUGGUCGAACACGUGUGUGAUGUGUAUCACAUAUAACGGCUAUGCGGGGAACUUGAGAUUGGCUACUUGUGCCAUGCCAACAACAAAUUUGGAGCAAGUGGAAGUUCUUUCCAUUGAGUGAGUGUAAAAUUUCUGGUGGUGGUGGUUUUUAAAAAUGUCAAAACUGCAGGCUUUCCUCUUUUGAAAAGUAUGUUGAGAACAUAGCCUGCAUCAGGAAGGUCCAGGAUAAGCAGGUGAUGGUAUGGAGGUGAUGGGAGAGGAGCAGGGAUAAAUUAAGCUGUUUAUGAGAAAGAUUGUCUACUCCUACAAAAUGCUCAUUUGUGACAAUGUUUUGCAUCUGAUACACUGUAUCAGUGUGGAUUAAGGUGAAAUGUAGGAAAUGGAGCAUUAAUUAAAUAGAACUGCACCUUACAAGUUUUUUGAUGCAGUGUGUUUUUGGUGUGGUUGAUGUCCCAAGAUGGCUUCGAGUAUCGUCAUAAGACUUGGGAUCCAAUUUCAAAAGAUACCAGCAUGUGGAAGAUGAAAACAUACAGGAUGUCAUGACCUGUAAAAGUUGUAAUGGGCUGCAGAAUUAGUGGCAGUUUGCUGUUGCUAAUGGGUAUUGUUUUCUGGGAAUACAAUGGACAAACAGAACAAGAUAAAUGAUUGUAGCCAAGUAGGCAUAUUGCCCAACCCUGAGCAACGAGAUAUGCUAGAAUUAUGAAACUUGUAUCAGUGAAUAGUGCCAUGGGAUCUUGUCAAACAAGUUGUGACAUUUGUAUAGAUAGGUGUGGUGUUCUGUCGGACGUGUGACAGAAGAGACAAUACUUAUGAUAAAGCAGCUAGUGCAUUUGUAGUUUCACAGACUAUACAUAAUCAAAACAGAAAAAAGGAAACAACUAUCACAUAUUCAGAAGUAUUGAUAGUGCUAGUGGUAGUAAUAAUAAUGAUUGCAGAUGAUAGUGCUGCCAUAAGUCAGCUUUCUGUGUUGUCUAGUGGCUUUACUUUGUGCCAUAUCACAAGGUAUGGAGUGCAAUGGGAUGUUCGAGGAACAGAGUGGUGAGUUCCAAUUGAUGUUCUGGCCCCCAACCAGAUCUGAUCCUGAUCGGACACAUAAGAUGUGACUGAACGUGGUGUCAGAGCUAGCCAUCUCCCUUCCUCAAAUUUACAGGAAUCUGGUGACUUGUAUGCAGAUGUGUCAACUCCCUCCAGCAA